rnacentral:lncRNA from 1 species
GUUGGAAGGGUUUUAGGAACUCUGCCAGAAACUGGGAACAACUAUCUUUCUUACUAUGCCACAGCAUAUAAUAAAAAAACCCAGCUAUUUAUUGAUGCUUAGUUUGUGCUAGACAUCAUGCUAAGCACUUUACAUCAUCUUUUUAAAAUAGUCAGAAAAGUCUAAAUGAAAUAGAAAGUAACAUUUUCACUUUACAAUUGGGGAAACUGAGAUCAAUACAGUUAAUUACAUUUUCUCAAUUACAUAGCUAGUUUUGUAAAUUUUUGCCCAAAAGCAAAAAGUUAAUGAGCAAAUUAAAUAGGAGGAGAUGAAUUUGUUUACCUAUAUUCACUAAAAAUUUUAAAAUUUGCCCCUCUUCGAACUUAUGCAAAAGUCAUCCAACUGAAGGUGCUUGAAUAAUUCAACUUGGCAUUUUGUAUGCUGACCUUAGCCAGGUUCCCGGCCGCCCCCACUGUUAUUCAUUAUGUCAUUGCCAAACAUUAACUGACUGGCAUAACAUUGCAAACAAAUAUUGUACAGUUUGUCAUACACAUUUAAGCCAUGUACUUUACUUAAAGUUAAACCAUGUAUUUUAAAACAUGUAUUUUACUUUAGUUAUUGAAAGUGAAAGACUGUUCUUUCUUUUGGUUACUGGGUUGAAGCCUGGUGUGCUUUACCACUGAGCUACAUCCCCAGUCCUUUAUAAUUUUUAUGUUUUUGAUACUGGGGAUUGAACUCAAGGGUGCUUAAUUCCAGCUCUUUUUAUAUUUAAUUUCCAGACAGGGUCUUGCUAAAUUACUUAAGCUUUGCUAAAUUGCUGCGGCUGGCUUUGAACUUGCCAUCCUCCUUUCUUAGCCUUCUGAGUUGUUGGGAUGACAGGUGUUCGAGACAGUGCCGGGCUGUCCUUUUUAAUUUUAAUUUUAUUUUUUAAAGCAAAAUUCACAUUUUAUUUGGACUGAAAUAAACCAUACAAAAUUGAUUUUCUUCACCAAAAAUAACAAUAUUUUCAGUAUUAUUUCCAGAUAAACAGCAAAACAUUCAUUUUGUAGGUUUUCCAGGUUUUACUUAUAAACCAAGUUGAGGCAGUAGAUAAUAGUUAUGGAAAAAGACUGAAAGAAAACAGGCAAGUCAGUCGCCCAAAUCCACCGAAUCUGAUUCUAUUUGGAGUAUGAAGCUGAAGUGCUCAACAUUUACCUGCUAAAAGCUUAUGAAGAUGUCAGCUCAACAAAGGGAGGUAAACAGCAACAACCAGAGGGGUAAUAACAGUUUAAGGCUCUUCCACCCAAACUUCAACUGUGAUUUGUUCCUUUAAGUUCAUUUGAUGAAGACAAAAUCUAUAGUAAAAUCUAUUUGGGGUCACAGACUUCUCUCUCUGGUAAUUCCCUUAACUGUCCAUUACAGAUUUUUAACACUCUUAAAAUUCCACUAGCUAAAGGUCAAUGGUGGCUUUGUUGUUGUAACAUUUCAUAAGGUUCC